CCUCACAAUUAUUGAAGGUGUCGCCUGCCCAAUGGAUUAACCCCAAAGAUAAAAGACUUUUACAAAAAACCAAAUGGCUGCAGUAACCAUAACUGUAACAAUGUAGCACAAUUAAUCGUCACUUAAUUAGUGAAUAGUAUGAAUGGCUAAACGAAAAUCUCACUGUCUCAUAGUAUAACCGAAAAAAAUUAAAAUAACAGUUAAGAUGCUGUUUAAAAUUGUAAGACGAGAAGACCCUAUAAAGCUUAACUAUUGAUCUUAAAUAAAUUUUAAGAAGAGGUAGUUUCAUUGGGGCGAUGGUUUUUAAAAUAAAACAAAAACACAACAAUAAUAAUUUAAAAUAUUUACUGUACAACCUAUCAGUUUAACAGUUACAAAGUAGGUUAAACACGACCCAUUAACUUCAAGAGAAAAGUUAAUGAUUAAUAAAUAAAAGCUACUUUAGGGAUAACAGAAUAAUUUUAUUCAAAAGUCCAAAUUUAAAAUAAAGUUUAUUACCUCGAUGUUGAAUUGAGAUAUCCCAGGGGUGCAAAAGCUCCUAAAGGUAGGUCUGU
rnacentral:rRNA from 1 species